GACAUGCAGAUCAAGCUCGUCCCCGGGAACUCCGCCGGCACUGUCACCGCCUACUACGUGAGUUCGCUGUGCAUUUGAUUCUCUCGUCUCUUCGUGGCUGUAGUUGUGGGAAGCUGAUGUCUUGAGCUAUAUGGUUCGUCCUUGCAGCUAUCUUCCGAAGGACCGGCUCAUGAUGAGAUCGACUUCGAGUUUCUGGGGAACCUCAGCGGAGACCCUUACACUCUGCACACCAAUGUGUUCGCACAGGGGAAGGGGAACAGGGAGAUGCAGUUCAAGCUCUGGUUUGAUCCCACCAAGCAGUUCCACACCUACUCCAUCCUCUGGAACCCAAGGCACAUCAUGUAAGUAGUCGAGUUGUAUGCGCGUAAGUAUGAACUUAACCACAAGCGGGAUAGGAAAUCUUAUCUUACCAUGGUUUGUCUGUGAUGGUUUCAGCUUCAUGGUCGAUGGCACUCCUAUCAGAGACUUCAAGAACCUGGAAUCAAGGGGCGUUGCCUUCCCCAAGGACCAACCCAUGAGGAUCUACUCCAGCCUCUGGAACGCCGAUGAUUGGGCCACCAGAGGCGGGCUCGUCAAGACCGACUGGACGAAGGCACCCUUCGUUGCCUCUUACAGAAACUUCAACGCCGACGCAUGUGUUCCGGCUUCCGGUAGG
rnacentral:lncRNA from 1 species